GACGAACGCUGGCGGCGUGCCUAACACAUGCAAGUCGAACGGGACUGGGGGCAACUCCAGUUCAGUGGCGAACGGGUGCGUAACACGUGAGGAAUUUGUCUUUCGGUGGGGGAUAGCCGGCCCAACGGCCGGGUAAUACCGCGUACGCUCUUCGGGGGGCAUCCCUUGGAGAGGAAAGCAGCAAUGCGCCGAAAGAGAAUCUCGCGGCCUAUCAGCUAGUUGGUGGGGUCAUGGCUCCCCAAGGCGACGACGGGUAGCUGGUCUGAGAGGAUGGCCAGCCACAUUGGGACUGAAACACGGCCCAGACUCCUACGGGAGGCAGCAGUGGGGAAUCUUGCGCAAUGGGCGAAAGCCUGAUGCAGCGACGCCGCGUGUGGGAUGACGGCCUUCGGGUUGUAAACCACUGUCGGGAGGGACGAAGCUCUGACGGUACCUCCAAAGGAAGCACCGGCUAACUCUGUGCCAGCCGCCGCAGUAACAC
rnacentral:rRNA from 1 species